UCAUAUAAUCGAGAUAAACAGCGAAGCGUUACUAGAAGUUAAAGUGUGAUAACUCGGUAAAAUGGACCGUUUUAGACUGUUGUUAUGGUGGUGUCUCUUUUAUUUGCCACUCGAUCUACAAUGUACUGUUAGUGCUCAAAAAAAUAAUACCCCAUCAUUAACACAAAGUGGCGUUGCCUUAUCAUUAAAUGAUGACCUGACCUCGACACCUUGGCACCAGCUGUUCUGACAGGAUUAUUUCAAAGUGAUCAAAACGCACGUUUGUCUCAGUAUCAAGAAAACCAUAAACCCAUGUUCAAAGAGUGUCAGAAGUACAAUCCUGUUGUAAAAGAAGAACAUUUGUUAUAAGAGUUCAAGCUGUUGAUGAAGAUCCUCCAGAUAGAGAAGGUGGACGAAUCACGUACACUAUUGAAGAACCACCAGGGACUCGACCUUUUUUUAGAAUAAAUAGCACAACAGGAGAAAUAACGACUGCAAUACCGUUCGACAGAGACGAACCWAGUAGACAAAAAGAAAUUUAUUUAACAGUUCGUGCUGAAGAUGAUGGGCGACCUGAAUUGGCUGAUAGAUGCACAAUUAAAGUCACAGUAAAAGAUAUUAAUGAUAAUUCACCAAGUUUUGAUCAACACGAUUACUCCAGCAAUCUUUCUGAAGAUCUUCCCGAAAAUAGUGACGUUUUAAGGGUGGUUGCUUAUGACUUGGACACACUUGAAAAUGCCAAAUUGACAUACAGAUUUAUCAAUACUAGAAAUAACCAUUUUAAGGAUUAUUUUAGAAUUGAUCCUAACACUGGUGUCAUUUAUUUAAAAAAGCAAUUACUUGGGAAACAGGGCAAAAGAUUUACGUCAACCGUUAAGGUUUCAGAUAAUG